rnacentral:lncRNA from 1 species
GACAGAGUGGAGCUUGGAGUGUUUUCUCUGAUGGAGAAACAGCUGUGAGAUAAUUGGUGACCAGAGAUCAGAGGAGCCACAGAUCUCCAGCAACUGGAGCUCUUGUGGGCAGGAUGGGACAUGACCUAGUGUUCAAAGGGGAUGAUUUGGUGUCACCAAUCUGAUGCGAUAGAAGGAGUUCCUGAAGAAUGUGGGGAAUUGGAAAGUAGAGGGAAAAUUGAGGAGACACAGUGGCUUCUGGAUUGGAACCAUAUAGUAGCUGAAAGCCUUUAAUAUAUACUUCAAAUCUGUGGAAAUGCGUGCAUAAUUACUUGGGUAAGUAUAAUGUUUUGUUCAUCUGACAUAUUUUACCCUACGAUAUAAUGAUUCUUUCCAAGUGCAUGGAAUUUUCACCAUAACACAAUUUGACAAAAACUUAUUUAAGGGGUGCCUGGGUGGCUCAGUGGGUUAAAG